AGGUGAGAGAGAGAACUGCAAAUCUUUUUCUGGAAUAUUGAGGGUGGAAGUUCCUUGAACUGAUAAUCUGGCCUUUCCCAACUCAAAACAAGUUCUAUUAUUGUGCUGCACCGGAGUGAUGGCAACCAUGUUACAUUCCGAGUCCAGACGGUUAUAUGCUUGGUGGUGGGAUAGUCACAUUUCAAAGAAUUCAAAACGGCUUCAGGAGAAUCUUACAGGAAUGGCAAUCCUCGGCUUUCAUGUUUUGGAUUGAUAAAAAACGGAAGGAAUGGAAAAAGUUACAACACUAAUCUUGCUCACACGUCCUGAAUAUCUAAGAAAUGAUGAGGCUGAACCAAAGUGUAAGGUAAAACGUUGGCUUCACUAGAAGAAA